rnacentral:rRNA from 1 species
UACAGAGGAUGCAAGCGUUAUCCGGAAUGAUUGGGCGUAAAGCGUCUGUAGGUGGCUUUUUAAGUCCGCCGUCAAAUCCCAGGGCUCAACUCUGGACAGGCGGUGGAAACUACCAAGCUGGAGUACGGUAGGGGCAGAGGGAAUUUCCGGUGGAGCGGUGAAAUGCGCAGAUAUCAGGAGGAACACCUAUUGCGAAGGCAGCUCGCUGGGACGUAACUGACGCUGAGACGCGAAAGCGUGGGGAGCAAACAGG